GUUUGGAGUUCUUUCACCUGGGUCUGUGGAGAGGUUGUUUUUGGCUUCAAACCAGCAGUGCUUUCGCAAUCUCCACACGUUACGGCUGCUGAAAUGCGAGGACACCAGCCGGGUGGCGGCUUGAGUCUUGUGAUUCCCAGGCAGUCCGGCGAAAUGAUAAACAAAAGUCUUUUGUGCAAUAUUAAUAAGCUUUAAGCACUCCCCAGCCGAGCCCCUUGUCAUCCAAUGCUGGCAGUAUGAUACAGGAACUGGGGGCUGAAUGGAGAGACCCCUUUCCAAGGAGGCGCCUUUGAAAACCUUUUUGCUGGACCAUUCCAACUGUCAACUGAUCUUGAGUUCUGUUUACAUUAAGACAAUAACAGUGUUUCCUAAAUAAAUAAGUUAGGGACACCCGUGGGCCUUAAUGAAACCCCAUAAAUGGGAUGGAGGGGUGGGAGUGGGGAAGGAGUUUUUGUGCUGUGCAGAA
rnacentral:lncRNA from 1 species